rnacentral:lncRNA from 1 species
UAAUUAAUUAAAUUAAUCUCUUGAGCUUCUCAAAUGCUAAAUCAUGCAUCAAUUAAAUCAUACCGGCUUUACAAGAAUUUAUCGCACUAAUUUAUCCGUUGAGCUCUAAACUUUAUUCUUGAUUUCACCGUUGUCCGUUGAGUGUCUUGAGCUUGAUUCACUUGCAUAAAUAUUAUCCUUCAAAAACUAGUGAAAAUGUGAAAUACAAUAUUUAUUAUUUUUACUUAAGACACAUGUUUGUUAUCAUUAAAAUUACAUUAUGUGUAGCCCUUUAGGCUAACAGAUUUUGCAAGGCUUGGUCAUUUUCGUGCUCCAAAAAAUUUUCAGCUCCUAUAUCAGCCAUAUUUAAGGGUGGUGAAGGUGAUCUUCUAAUUAGUCUGCCACUAUUUGUACGAGACCAACGACGCAUGCAAUGCUAAUGAUGUGUGCUAAAACAAUGAUGUAUAAAACGCUAAAUGAAAAUUGCAGAAAAUAAAAAUAAACUGGAAAUUAAAUAAGCAAAAAUGCGAAAUAAAAAUAAAAAAACUGAAAAUAAAUAAAAUAAAUAAAUUAGGCAGUGAAACCAGCCAUAAACAAUGA